rnacentral:lncRNA from 1 species
GUCCUUAAAUUAUAGGCUCUCCUGCAGUUUCAAAAAGCUAAUUCACACUACUGUGUGCAUUAGAAAGGUGGUAUAUAUGAUAUUCCACUAAGGGAAACCCUAGGAACAUUAAACUCCUACUAGUAACUGGUCACGAGUCAGGGCUAGAACUGACACUAGUCAUUUUUCUUCACUGACAAGUUUUCAUUAUGUGGCUUUCCCAGAACAAUUUAGAAAUUGAUCUGCAACUGAUGGAAGCUGGGAUGAAUUGGGCGCAUAAGUGAACCCAAAGCAUCAGAGCAAAGUCAAAGCGAACAUCUGGCUCCAGCUUUGAGUACAAGAAAGGAAGGAAGAAAGAACAUGCUGGAAGCAGAGCAAAGAAGAGAGACUUGUGUUUCCAUGGAAUAAUCUUGGGAUCCAUGUGGAGUGCAAGAGAUUGGAACAGAAGGAGUUCUCAAAAAAUAAAAACUUCGGGCGGGUGCGGUGGCUCACGCCUGUAAUCCCAGGACUUUGGGAGGCCGAGG